rnacentral:rRNA from 1 species
GAUGAACGCUGGCGGCGUGCCUAAUACAUGCAAGUCGAGCGAACGGACGAGAAGCUUGCUUUUCUGAUGUUAGCGGCGGACGGGUGAGUAACGCGUGGAUAACCUACCUAUAAGACUGGGAUAACUUCGGGAAACCGGAGCUAAUACCGGAUAAUAUUUUGAACCGCAUGGUUCAAAAGUGAAAGACGGUCUUGCUGUCACUUAUAGAUGGAUCCGCGCUGCAUUAGCUAGUUGGUAAGGUAACGGCUUACCAAGGCAACGAUGCAUAGCCGACCUGAGAGGGUGAUCGGCCACACUGGAACUGAGACACGGUCCAGACUCCUACGGGAGGCAGCAGUAGGGAAUCUUCCGCAAUGGGCGAAAGCCUGACGGAGCAACGCCGCGUGAGUGAUGAAGGUCUUCGGAUCGUAAAACUCUGUUAUUAGGGAAGAACAUAUGUGUAAGUAACUGUGCACAUCUUGACGGUACCUAAUCAGAAAGCCACGGCUAACUACGUG